rnacentral:rRNA from 1 species
CCUACGGGAGGCAGCAGUGAGGAAUAUUGGUCAAUGGACGAGAGUCUGAACCAGCCAAGUAGCGUGAAGGAUGACUGCCCUAUGGGUUGUAAACUUCUUUUAUAUGGGAAUAAAACGUUCCACGUGUGGGAUUUUGUAUGUAUCAUAUGAAUAAGGAUCGGCUAACUCCGUGCCAGCAGCCGCGGUAAUACGGAGGAUCCGAGCAUUAUCCGGAUUUAUUGGGUUUAAAGGGAGCGUAGGUGGAUUGUUAAGUCAGUUGUGAAAGUUUGCGGCUCAACCGUAAAAUUGCAGUUGAAACUGGCAGUCUUGAGUACAGUAGAGGUGGGCGGAAUUCGUGGUGUAGCGGUGAAAUGCUUAGAUAUCACGAAGAACUCCGAUUGCGAAGGCAGUUCACUGGACUGCAACUGACACUGAGGCUCGAAAGUGUGGGUAUCAAACAGGAUUAGAUACCCUGGUAGUC